rnacentral:pre_miRNA from 14 species
AGCUUGAGUCUCAGGAUGGUGUGCCCCAGGAAACACCGAUCCCGGACGAGCCCCCAAAUGAAAGAUCCCCAAGGAGAGACCCUUUCCAAAGUCGCGGGAAAUUGCGGACCCCAGACACAGAGAGACCA